GGUCCACUUCUAGUCGCAGCGGAAGUGACGUACAACAAAGCCGGGAGCGUGAGGCGUGUGUGCUCCCGACAGGCUCUGCGCGGCCGCGAGCCUCCCGACUUGUGGAAGGUCCCUGGUUUCCGCGGCGGUAGCCCAGUCGGCGUGCUAGGUACCCUGCGGCGGUGACUGAGAGCCGGGACGUUGGGACCGGCUUCCGCUCAAAAACCCACGCGACCACUGCUCCGGCAGAGAGCUUGUCAACCACUAUCGCCGACAUUGAGCCGAUACCAACUGACACUGAACUUCUGGUGACAAUGGAAGAAGAGCCACCCUGGAGUGCUUACUCGGCGGUUGGUUGACGACGUUGCAGACCGCCCCUCCGCUGCCCGCCUGUGGCGCUGGUGCUUUGGAGCUCUGAGGGUGCACCCAGGGGCGGGAACCUCUGCCUGGAGUCAGGCUUUGAGCGGUGGGCCGGCGCUCCUGGAGUCUGAGUCCAAGGCCCCUCAGCUUUACGGCUCCGAAAGCGAAUGUUCCUGCCGUGGGGAUCAUUAGCGUCUAAGUCCUCUUUACCACUGAGAUUAAAGGCGUUUGGAAAGAUAGCCAGCUCUACUUAGGCCAUGAUCCCUACUGCUCUAGCUGUAUCCAACUCACUGGAUCUGUGGACCACAGUCCUAAUAGACAUGCACUCCAGGAGAUAAGGCUGCUCUCCAUCAGCCUCUUCCUGGAAGCCCUGCCCCCUUGUGUUCUGUGGAUGAAUGAGGUCUUCCAUCAAAGCCAGGAGGUUGUUGAUGUCCAUCGAGCCUACCAAGUCCCCACCGACGACUGGCGGUGGCACCUUCAGAGCUUUGAACAGAGAGCUGACAAGUCUGCGCACAUCCUGCAAGGCAGCCCCAUCGGAUCACCACCAGCACAUAGACCACACAGAGGCAGCCAACGGUGGUCACCACCACAGGGUUGUCCUCAAAGGUGGCAAAAAGCUCAGCAGUCUGGUGAACAUCGACAGCAUUGGGCAUCACCAGGAAGGUGCUUCCGAAGAAGGUCCAUCUCAGGAUGGAGGGGUUAGAAGACUGGCAUCUGGAAAGUUCUCUGCUCAAGCACCAGUUGAGGAAGAACCUCCCACAGCCCUGUUUUAUGACCCAAAGGUUGGAAAAUGAAACAGAGUGCCAUCUGGAUCUGACUGCACUUCAACUUCUACCUCGAUGUCCUCCAGUAGGUUCUUUACAGGGAGGAGCUGUCCACUAGGGCUGGUCAGACGAAGGUCACCGACAGUUCCGCUGACAUCAAAGUGACUUCCAGCCUGGAAGGGGCUCUUUGGGAAACUCAUCAUCUGAAACCAAGAGCAGGGAGCAUUGGCUAAAGCCUGGAGGGGCUGGAGAGUAAAGUCGUGGAAAGUACAGGCAGAUGAACAGAACCCCGGGUUCAAGUCCCGUCCUUGCCACCUAGGAAUGGCCACCUCACGCAAGUCACGAAACUCUCUCAGCCUCAUCUGCCAAGUAAGGGGAUAAGACCCAUCAACUUCUGUGAUUCUCCUUUUUAAA